ACCUACUGCUUAAUUUUGAGGGUUCGUUUUUACCAAUACUCAAGAUUAUGACUUUUAGCAGCGAGAUUUAUCCGCUGGCGCUGUGCGUUACCACUUUACGCAACACAACAUACUGAACGCAUGUGAAGAUUGUACGUUGGCCCUGGGCGUUAUCACUUUACGCAACGAGGUUUAUCCGUUGGAGCUGUGCUUUAGCACUUUGAAAACUGCAUAUAUAUAUUUAGAGAUAUGACAUCUAAUUUGAAAUAUGUAAAGCGGAUAACUUUUUAAAAUUAUCGAACUUGAUAACUUCUACUCUAUCACACCUUUUUAACUGGUCAA
rnacentral:misc_RNA from 1 species